rnacentral:rRNA from 1 species
UACAGAGGUCUCAAGCGUUGUUCGGAUCCAUUGGGCGUAAAGGGUGCGUAGGUGGCGCCGUAAGUCAGGUGUGAAAUCUCGGGGCUCAACCCCGAAACUGCACUUGAUACUGCGGUGCUCGAGUACUGGAGAGGAGAUUGGAAUUUACGGUGUAGCAGUGAAAUGCGUAGAUAUCGUAAGGAAGACCAGUGGCGAAGGCGAAUCUCUGGACAGUUACUGACACUGAGGCACGAAGGCCAGGGGAGCAAACGGG